AUGGCUCAGCACCCAACCACAGCAGGCUGUGAGCACCUGGGGAGCAGCAGAGGGAGGACACAGCUGUCCAGCCGGAUGGGACUGGACCCUUCAUCCCCUUCUCCACCUUAUCCCCACCUUCCUUUGUCCCUGUCCCUUUCCAGCAGGAUUUCUGUGCAGCCAGGAAGGCUGAAAUGCCCUGUUUUGGGGACCAGCCCAUCCCAAACUGAACCAAAUACCUGGCCAAGGAGGAGCACCGAGAACAUCAGGAAGGACAGGAGCUGCCUGAGUCAGCUCGGCCUCUCCCCGGGGCAGGGAGGGCAGCAGGGGCAGGAGCGAGGGGCAGGAGCUGAGCUGGGGACAGGUCCUCCCUCCUCCAGAGGAGCCACAGGAUCCUUCCCUACAAACACCAAAAAAUGCCCGGGAGCAGCACCACGGGCGCUGAAAUCAGGGUCUCCCAGUGUGUCUCCCCUCCACGGGACUCCCCCGGGCCCUCUGCUCACCAGGGGGGACAGCAGGAGCUUCAGCCUCGAAAGGAGAGGCCGAGUCCUCUUCCCACACACCCCACAUCACCUGCAAACCCCUUCCCUGCAAACCAAACCCAUCCUGCUGGAAGGACACAGCUCUGGAAAAGCCUCACCCAUCUCAGAGCAGAGUGGCUCCAGUGAUCCCAGUGAGAACCAGGGUUCCACGCUGCUUUUCCCAGGAGUUCAAGGCAGUUUUCAUCCUGAACCAUCCUCCUGCACCUUUCUGUGGCAGAGGCAUUCAGGCCCAUCUCCAGCAUCUGAUCGGGGAAUCAUGGAACGGUUUGGGUGGGAAGGGACCUCAAAGCUCAUCCCAUUCCACCCCCUUCCGCUGGUUCAUGCUGCUCCAAGCCCUAUCCUUGGAUGCUUCCAGGGAUGGGGAAGAUGCGGGACACAGGACACGAUGCUGUGCCGGAGCUGGGAAUCAAAAGGCAUCGAGAUCCAUUUGGAUCCCAUCACCUGCAGAGCUUUCCUGGGCCUGGGGAUGCUCUUUGAGCCAAACUUGUUGCUCCCAUGGGCUGGACCCAGGUCUGGAAACUUCAUUUCAUGGAAGAAAAAGGAUGAGGGAAAGAACUGA
rnacentral:lncRNA from 13 species